ACUGGUGUUGAAGAAGCUAUCUCUCGUGAAGAAGAAGAGUUGAGAGUAGAAAGUGCAAAGUUAAUUAGUGAAUUAUUAUCCCAAUCAAUGGAAAAGACAAAUAACAACUGAUAUAAUAAUUAUUACAAUACAUGUAUACUGCUAUAGUUAUCAAUAAUAAUUUUAUGAAAGUAGAUGUUUCUAUUGCCUGAA